rnacentral:rRNA from 1 species
UACGUAGGGUGCGAGCGUUGUCCGGAAUUAUUGGGCGUAAAGAGCUCGUAGGCGGUUUGUUGCGUCUAUCGUGAAAACCUGCAGCUUAACUGUGGGCUUGCGGUGGAUACGGGCGGACUUGAGUUCGGUAGGGGAGACUGGAAUUCCUGGUGUAGCGGUGAAAUGCGCAGAUAUCAGGAGGAACACCGGUGGCGAAGGCGGGUCUCUGGGCCGAUACUGACGCUGAGGAGCGAAAGCGUGGGGAGCGAACAGG